rnacentral:rRNA from 1 species
UACGUAGGCAGCGAGCGUUGUUCGGAGUUACUGGGCGUAAAGCGCACGUAGUCGGCUUUGCAAGUCGGUUGUGAAAUCCCCGGGCUCAACCUGGGAACUGCAUCCGAGACUGCAUUGCUAGAGUAUGGGAGAGGAAAGCGGAAUUUCUGGUGUAGCAGUGAAAUGCGUAGAUAUCAGAAGGAACAUCAGUGGCGAAGGCGGCUUUCUGGACCAAUACUGACGAUCAGGUGCGAAAGCGUGGGGAGCAAACAGG